AUUGAACGCUGGCGGCAUGCCUUACACAUGCAAGUCGAACGGUAACAGGUCUUCGGAUGCUGACGAGUGGCGAACGGGUGAGUAAUACAUCGGAACGUGCCCGAUCGUGGGGGAUAACGAAGCGAAAGCUUUGCUAAUACCGCAUACGAUCUACGGAUGAAAGCAGGGGACCGCAAGGCCUUGCGCGAACGGAGCGGCCGAUGGCAGAUUAGGUAGUUGGUGGGAUAAAAGCUUACCAAGCCGACGAUCUGUAGCUGGUCUGAGAGGACGACCAGCCACACUGGGACUGAGACACGGCCCAGACUCCUACGGGAGGCAGCAGUGGGGAAUUUUGGACAAUGGGCGAAAGCCUGAUCCAGCCAUGCCGCGUGGAGGAUGAAGGCCUUCGGGUUGUAAACUGCUUUUGUACGGAAAGAAAAGACUCUGGUUAAUACCUGGGGGCCAUGACGGUACCGAAAGAAUAAGCACCGGCUAACUACGUG
rnacentral:rRNA from 1 species